rnacentral:rRNA from 1 species
CCUACGGGUGGCAGCAGUGGGGAAUAUUGCACAAUGGGGGAAACCCUGAUGCAGCGACGCCGCGUGAGUGAAGAAGUAUUUCGGUACGUAAAGCUCUAUCAGCAGGGAAGAAAAUGACGGUACCUGACUAAGAAGCCACGGCUAACUACGUGCCAGCAGCCGCGGUAAUACGUAAGGGGCAAGCGUUAUCCGGAUUUACUGGGUGUAAAGGGAGCGUAGACGGCAGCGCAAGUCUGGAGUGAAAUCCCAUGGCUUAACCAUGGAACUGCUUUGGAAACUGUGCAGCUAGAGUGCAGGAGAGGUAAGCGGAAUUCCUAGUGUAGCGGUGAAAUGCGUAGAUAUUAGGAGGAACACCAGUGGCGAAGGCGGCUUACUGGACUGUAACUGACGUUGAGGCUCGAAAGCGUGGGGAGCAAACAGGAGUAGAUAUCCGGGUAGUC